UGGCGGCGUGGUUAAGACAUGCAAGUCGGACGCUGAUUAGAGGGUAGCAAUAUUCUCUAGUUGGAGUGGCGCAAGGGUGCGUAACACGUGGGCAAUCUGCCGUGAAGACUGGGAUAACUCGCUGAAAGGCGAGCUAAUACCGGAUGAGACUUUUGGGAGGCAUCUCCUGGAAUUGGAAGCUGGGGACCCGCAAGGGCCUGGCGCUUCACGAUGAGCCCGCGGCCUAUCAGCUAGUUGGUGAGGUAAUGGCCCACCAAGGCUAAGACGGGUAGCUGGUCUGAGAGGACGACCAGCCACACUGGAACUGAGACACGGUCCAGACACCUACGGGUGGCAGCAGUCGAGAAUUUUUCACAAUGGGCGCAAGCCUGAUGGAGCGACGCCGCGUGGGGGAUGAAGGGUUUCGAUCCGUAAACCCCUGUCAUUUGCGAACAAACCUUAUGGAAUAACACUCCAUGAGCUGAUUGUAGUGAAAGAGGAAGGGACGGCUAACUCUGUGCCAGCAGCCGCGGUAAUACAGAGGUCCCAAGCGUUGUUCGGAUUCACUGGGCGUAAAGGGUGCGUAGGUGGCCGUGGAAGUUUGAUGUGAAAGCUCGGAGCUCAACUCCGAAAUGGCAUUGAAUACUCUACGGCUUGAGGGUCGGAGGGGAGACUGGAAUUCACGGUGUAGCAAAGGGCGUUUUCU
rnacentral:rRNA from 1 species